UUCCAUCCAAAGAGUUCAAUCUUGGUUUCAUCAGACCAGAGACUUGUUUCUCAUGGUCUGGGAGUCCUUUAGGUGCCUUUUGGCAAAUUGCAAGUGGGCUGUCAUCUGCCUUUUCCUGAUCAUUGGACUGCUGCAGAGAUGGUUGUCCUUCUGGAAGGUUCUCCCAUCGCCACAGAAGAACUGAGGCAAUGGAAAGAUGUGGGUUGAUGAAAGAGAAACAAGCCACCACCACCACUCAGAGCAUCCAAGGCCAGAAGAGGAAGAGGUGCCAGCUCUGCCCAAGCGCAAAAGAUAGAAAAGUCAGCUGCUGGUGUUCUCAGUGCAACACAUCCGUCUGCAAAGAGCAGUCACAUGCUUGUGGUUUGUAACAAAUGCAUGGACUAAGACAGCAUAAAUGGUGUUAAAGCACUCCGUACCAACGCCACUGCUCCUGUGUUGCAGGAAGUGCUGUGUGCAAUCAUCUGGUGGCCUUUCUUUACCAGACAGCGCACAACUCUCAACUGAACAUUCCUGCUGCCACCACCAGUUCACAGCUGCACAGACACAGAACAGCGUUGGCACGAGCCAAGAACACUUCUGAGUCUAUCAAUAUCCAUAAAAAAAUGCACCUGAAAAGUAUUCAGCCUAUGUAACAGUAAAUCCUUGUUAAUUAUUGUGUGAAGCCAGGUCCGGUUGAUGGGAUAGAGUUCCGUAAACCUACUAACUGGAGUGCUGAUGGAAUAAGAAGUUGUCUCUACAAAGCACUCCAUGGAUAUACGCCUGACAUGGACCUUCUCCGCGUCUCAGAAACAUAUGCCAACUUUUCUCCACUUACUUCCCCUCUUGUGACACUAAUGGAAAUGUCAGCUGAUGUGCCCCUGGUUGAGUCCGCCUUUGGGCCAGUGCAAGCUGGCAGUGUGCUGUCCUAUCAACUUCCACAGCCAAAGACCCGUGAAAUUGUGAAAAUUGCCGAUGCCCCUUCUCCAUUAAUACUUCCGUUAGAUGGC